rnacentral:rRNA from 1 species
GGGUCAGUAGGUUGGACGUGCCACCGGUACGUACUGGUCUCACUGAUUCCUCCUUCCUGACGAACCGUAAUGCCAUUAAUUUGGUGUUGCGGGGAAACAGGACUGUUACUUUGAAAAAAUUAGAGUGUUUAAAGCAAGCUAACGCUUGAAUACAUUAGCAUGGAAUAAUGAAAUAGGACGAUCGAUCCUAUUUUGUUGGUUUCUAGGAUUGACGUA